rnacentral:SRP_RNA from 1 species
GCCAGGUGUGGUGGUGCACACCUGUAAUCCCAGCUACUCUGGAGGCUGAGGCGGGAGAAUCGCUUGAACCCGGGAGGAGGAGGUUGCAGUGAGCUGAGAUUGCGCCACUGCACUCCAGCCUGGGCCACAGAGCAAGACUCCGCCUCAA